AGCAGCCGCGGUAAUUCCAGCUCCAAUAGCGUAUAUUAAAGUUGCUGCAGUUAAAAAGCUCGUAGUUGAAUUUCGGGACCAAUCUGCCGGUCGUGCCUCCGGUACGCACUGGUUUUAUUGGUCUCUCCCUUCUGACGAACCAUGAUGUCAUUAAUUUGGUGUCAUGGGGAAUCAGGACUGUUACUUUGAAAAAAUUAGAGUGUUUAUAGCAGGCUCACGCUUGAAUACAUUAGCAUGGAAUAAUGAAAUAGGACGUUUGACCCUAUUUUGUUGGUUUCUAGGAUCGACGUAAUGAUUAAUAGGGAUAGUUGGGGGCAUUAGUAUUCAAUUGUCAGAGGUGAAAUUCUUGGAUUUAUUGAAGACUAACUACUGCGAAAGCAUUUGCCAAGGAUGUUUUCAUUAAUCAAGAACGAAAGUUAGGGGAUCGAAGACGAUCAGAUACCGUCGUAAUCUUAACCAUAAACUAUGCCGACUAGGGAUCGGAUGAUGUUAAUUUUUUAAUGACUCAUUCGGCGCCUUA
rnacentral:rRNA from 1 species